CCACCCCCAAUAUAACCCGCACCAAAACCCCCACCAUUGACAACUAUGGCUGUAACUCUGGCCGACCAUCCUAACGGCGGCGAUGUUGACCACCACCACCGUCCACCAAACCAACCAUCUUUUUCGCUUCCUAAGCUGGCAGUUUUUCUUGAUUCUAUGACCAAAUCUUGUUGAUUGUGACCAAAUCUUGUUGAUUUCUCACAACAAACCCAUAUUCUGGUUGUAUGAUUCAUGGGCUUUGUUGCUCAUGUUUCUUCCAGAGGAUGUAGGAUGCAAUUAACCAACAGGAAAGAAAAUAAGAAGCAAGUAAGAAGAAAAUCAAGAAAGCUUCAAAAGCAUCUGCAAAAGAAAGUUUUCGAUCACUAACAAUCUGAAGCGUUUAUGUUGAGCAACCUGAAGACCGCUACAAAGAAUAUCCAGUCAGAUAGUCUCAUCGGAGAAGGCGGGUUUGGCUGGGUGUAUAAAAGGCGGACUGGAUCGGUACGGUAUCGUACAGUUUCCAAUCUGGAUUGAAGUGAAGGAAGACGGAUGUAUGAUGACGUGUGUGUUGACGUUUGAGUGCAGAGAAUGAAAAAAGGAAUGGAGGUGGCGGUUGUGGUGGAGGUUGUUGAUGGUUGUGGGUGGUAGGUUGAGGAUGAAGAUGCUUUGUUGGUGGCGAUGGUAAGUGAAGGUUGAAGAUAACCAGAUUGUAGGUGGGUUCCACAACUAAAUUAUAAGAGUAAAUUACAAGUUUUGUCCUUUAUAUUUGUAGCAAAUUGCAGGCGCUGUCCUUUACCUUUAAAAUUGAUGACUUUUGUCCUUAAUGUUUUAAAAUCUUGCACGUUAUGUCCUUUAGCCCUAACCCAGUCAAAUUUUUUGGUUAAAUAUGGUCAUGUGUCUUGCACAUGAGGGUAGAACGGUCAUUUCCCCUCCCCCACUUGUGUUUCCCUUUUUAAAACCCUAAUAACACCCUCAAUUCAUCUUCAACCCCAAUUCAUCUUCAAACCCCAAACCCUAAUUCCAAAAUCAAUCAUCUGCAACAAAAUUCUCAACCCAAUUCUCACAACAAUCAUAUCAUUCAUCUUCAGACUAUGCGUAUUCUCUGAACCAUCAUCAGUUGGAUAUUAAUACGUAUUGUUCUUUCACCCAAAACAGAGCUCCAACGUACAGUGAGAAUUUUGAGGAGACUACCACUAGAUGAAUAAAAAAAUUACCCGUUUGAAACUUUGAAACUGGGGUUUACAAACAACCUCAAAUUCUUGCAUUGAUUGAUAAUACCACGCGUUUGACAUCGUUUCGUGAU